rnacentral:rRNA from 1 species
CGAAAGCCUGACGGAGCAAGACCGCGUGAGGGAGGAAGGCUCUAGGGUUGUUAACCUCUUUUAUCAGGGAAUAAGCAAUGAAGGUACCUGAGGAAUCAGCAUCGGCUAACUCCGUGCCAGCAGCCGCGGUAAUACGGAGGAUGCAAGCGUUAUCCGGAAUCAUUGGGCGUAAAGCGUCCGCAGUUGGUAGUUCAAGUCGAUUUGUUCAAAGCCAGUAGCUUAACUACUGACAGGCAGUGGAAACUGAGUCACUAGAGUGCGGUAGGGGUAGAGGGAAUUCCCGGUGUAGCGGUGAAAUGCGUAGAGAUCGGGAAGAACACCAGUGGCGAAAGCGCUCUGCUGGACCAGCACUGACACUGAGGGACGAAAGCUAGGGGAGCG